AUUGAACACUGGCGGCAUGCCUUACACAUGCAAGUCGAACGGUAACAGGUCUUCGGAUGCUGACGAGUGGCGAACGGGAGAGUAAUACAUCGGAACGUGCCUAGUAGUGGGGGAUAACUACUCGAAAGAGUGGCUAAUACCGCAUGAGAUCUACGGAUGAAAGCAGGGGAUCGCAGGACCUUGUGCUACUAGAGCGGCCGAUGGCAGAUUAGGUAGUUGGUGGGAUAAAAGCUUACCAAGCCGACGAUCUGUAGCUGGUCUGAGAGGACGAUCAGCCACACUGGAACUGGGACACGGCCCAGACUCCUACGGGAGGCAGCAGUGGGGAAUUUUGGACAAUGGGCGCAAGCCUGAUCCAGCAAUGCCGCGUGCAGGAUGAAGGCCUUCGGGUUGUAAACUGCUUUUGUACGGAACGAAAAGCCCUGGGUUAAUACCCUGGGGUCAUGACGGUACCGUAAGAAUAAGCACCGGCUAACUACGUGCCAGCCGCCGCCGUAAAAC
rnacentral:rRNA from 1 species